rfam:Poecilia formosa, whole genome shotgun sequence.
CAAAAGGCUCUUUUCAGAGCCAACACUUAUUCUCUGUAGAGCACAU